GACCCCAUCGUCCAAUGGUAAGGACACCGGCCUUUCACGCCGGCAAUACGGGUUCGAUCCCCGUUGGGGUCGCCA
rnacentral:tRNA from 2 species